rnacentral:lncRNA from 1 species
GCUGUCUCUGCCCAGCACACUCCACCAUGGCUUCUGCCCCACCGUGCUGGGGUCCCUGGGAGACUCUAGAGGCAUCCCCAGCUGGCCCAGCCCUCUCUGGUCCACCAGAGACACCUGGAGUGGCAGGAUUGGGCUUCAGGCCACUCUGCUAGGCCAUGACUAAUACACCUGUGGUUGGGACUUCUUCUUAACCCAGAGGUGCACCCCACGACCUCCCACAUGCCUCCCCUGCUGUCCAGGAUACAUUGCUCAGCACCUCUGGACAGUCUGUUGGGUUCUGCAUAAGGUAGCUUCAGCCUGGGGCAUGGUGGGGGCAGCAUGGGGAUCAGGACCCUGCAGGGGACCCCCUUCUAUAUGGAAAGGUGGGGACUUCCUUGGGUGGGUCCCAGGAGCCUGCAGCUGUUCCCCUUCACACCAAGGCCCUGCCAGUGGCUGCAGUGGGGCUCCUCCUGUGAGUGCAAAGUACACAGGGAAAGAGACCUAGGUCACCAUGACAUUUUACAACCCUGAAGACAGAGAAGACCCUAGAAGCUUCUGGCAGGACAGGGGCAGGUGGAAUACAAAAAGGGGAUCAGAGAAGAGACCUCACGUGAGGGAGAGGUAAGGCACAGCCCCUGACAGCCAGCUUUGUGCAGGGCAGCGUUGGCCGUGGAUCACAGCACAGGGCACUCUACGGCUGCCAGGCCUGCAGGCUGCCUGCCUCGGCUCACUCUGCAGGAGCGAGAGGGCAGCGUGCCCAGAAAUGGGAUUGGAACCGAGAAGGAAGAAGACACUGGUCCUGGAGCUGCUCAGGGAACGGCCACAGGAAGUGACUACGACAUCCCAGGUGGUGGGCGCUCAAGGGAGAAGGCCCAGAAGUCACACACUGACGCUGUGGCAGUCAGGCCACAUGCAGGCCAGGACACAGGCCAGGUUGUGUGGAGAGACAGAGAUGACCUGACUGCAGGACAGGGUCAACUGCAGGGUCCAGCGUCUAUGUGGCCAGAGCGAGCUGCCUGACCUGGGGCUGUACCACAGCCAGCGAUGGGACCCAGGCUGCCACCAGGUGGGGGCGCAGUGGAGUCCCCUGCUCUGCAGGGGGAGCCCGGAGCAGAUGUCUGAAGAGGAGCGGUGGAGAGAACACCCAUCCGCAGACUGUAGGAAGCGUAGGUCCCCCUCAGACCCACCAGCCUCUUGGGAAGCAGCCCUCAGACCGCAGAACAAAGCAGUCCUCCGGAGGCUCCAGAGGUGCGCUCCUCGGAGUUGAACCAUGAGCUGAAACUCAGGUCUCCAUGAAAGCCAGCAGUGUCCCAGCAGCUGCGGCUGUGAUGGCCAAAGUGCCUUGAGCAGGUGACAAGGGACAGGCCAGGUUGAAUAUUGACAGAAUACCACUCGGCACCAAGAGAAGUGAAUUACAAGGCCCUGAAAAGACAGGGGAGCAUCUUAAGGGCCCAGUGCCCAGUAGAGAAGCCCGUCUGAGAAGGCUGCCCGGCCUCGGUUCCACCUGGACCUCUGCAGAGGCAGGGCCACGAAGAUAGGAAGAGAAGGGCUGGCUGGGGGUCUGAGGAGUGGACGGGCAGUGGAGGCCGGACGGGCAGUGGAGGCCACACGGACAGGCGGGGACGUACUGCACGGGGGUACAUCCGCUUCCCCAUCUCCUGCCACACGGAGAGAGCCCACGUGGACUGACUCUGAUCACAGUGCGUCACCACAGGGUCAUCGGUCACACCAGACAGACACCCGCACGCAAGCUAUAGUAAUAGAGUAAGCACGGGAGCGUCCACUCACCUUUCUAUAAAUCCAAAAUGCUCAAAAAAUAAAACCUAUGAGUCAUGUGCGAGGAAGGAGCAGGAACAGGCCCAGGACCAGGUGCAGUGGUGCACACUGGAACCCCGGCUGGGGGGAGGGCAAAGUUCAAGGCCACCCUGGGCAAUCAAACUAAGAAAUAAAAAUGGCCAGGGGUGCAGCUCAGUGGUAGAGCACCCUGGGUCCAUCCCCAGACUUGGGAGCCUGGGUGGCCCCAUCCCUGUUGGAAGGGACACGGGGGAAAGGAAAUCUGAGGAGCUGGGAUCCACCAGUCCCUGAGCCACAGGAGGGGACAGAGGCAUCAGUAAGAGCCAGGGUGGGUGGGCUCUCCCUCCCUGUCCCACCCUCUCCCCCUCUCCCUUCUCCCCUGAUGAGCUGAUCAAUCGCUCAUCACUGCUUGAAGGAGGGUCCGACUCAAGUGUGGCCUCUUAAUCAGCACGCGGCCGUCCCAGGUUCAUCCACUGCCCUGCCCACCCACAAAUGAGCCCAUUGACCCAUCCUCGCCUCCCCCAGGGAGGCCUGCCUGGGCUCCGAGCGCCGUCUGGUGGCCGCAGGGUGAGCACAACACAGCCCGGAGGACCUGAGAGGACACGGAGGGCCAGAGGACUGAGGAAGGCCGCUCUCCGCCCCCUCAGGCGGCUCCUCCUCCCCAGUCCUCUCCCCCCACACCCUCCUUUGGAAGACACCAGAGUGCACCCCUUCUCCAGCCCCAGCAAAACACAUGCUGCCUGCCCUGCCCUGCCUCAGGGCCUUGGAGCGUGCAGGUCCCUGGGCCAAAACACUCUCUGCCACACCUGUCAGCCCCCCUCGGCUUUGUGGCCAGAUCCACCCCACCCAGCCGCAUCACCCCAGAUGGAUGGUGAGUGAACAAGGGUCGGAUGGGCUGGGAAACCCUGUGAACCAGCGUGGGGUCACCUGGCCAAACCCCGCUGUCCCCUCCUGGGCCUGGCAGGCCUGAGUGCUCAUCUGGGGCAUCCCCCAGGGUGUCUGGGUCCUGGGGUCCGGGUUCCUGGAGCAGGGCUGUGGGGUGUGCUGAAGGCAGUAAGACUUCCUCUGACAGGGAGCGCAGGCUGGGCCUGGGGAGUCCCUGGCUCUGUGGAAGCUCGACCUUCAGUCCCCAGGGUGGCUGCUCUCCCGUCCUUGUCCCCUUCCCGGGGCCCAGCCUGCUCUGGCAGUGCAGGUGUCCCAGACCUGUGUCCAUGCCAUCACAGCUCCUCCCUGCCCAGCUGCCACAGUCAGGUGGCAAGGGAGAGGGAAGCUGGCUCCCUGUGCUCCUUGUCCUAGGUGCCCCAGUGACCUGCAGUUCCAUGGGAACACUAGCCUUCUGUAGCCAGGCUGAUUUGGGGGACUUGGGGUGACUGCCUCCCCCAGCAGACUGGCAGCUGGACUGGCCUCAGCAAGUACCAGUGAGGGUGUGGACAGUGUCCCUGGCCCCAUCUUCUGGGUCCUCUGGCCUCCCCUGCCUGGGUCAGACCCUGGCCUGUGGCAGUCGUCAGGAGCCGUGAGUGUGGGUGUGGCUUCCUGGGGUGUCCCAGCUGUGGUGGGUGCAGCGCUGACCCUGCUUCCUGCUCCCCUUCCUGCCUCCCCCGCCCACAGCAGAGACUGGCAGGCCCAAGGUCAGCGGUCUGUGUAUCGACAGUGUCUGGCCACCCUGGGCUGGCGGGAGGGAGGAGACUGCGGCUCGAUAAGGCCCAUCUUGUGAGAAAAUAAAUUUGGCCAUUGACCCAGCAAGCAGACGUCAAUAAAUGAAUGGUUAAUACAAACAUUGUCCUUC